rnacentral:rRNA from 1 species
UACGAAGGGUGCAAGCGUUGCUCGGAAUUAUUGGGCGUAAAGGGUAGGUAGGUGGUGACAAAAGUCUAGGGUGAAAUCCCUGAGCUCAACUCAGGACGUGCCUUGGAAACUUUGUCACUAGAGUGCUGGAGAGGUUCGUAGAAUUCCUGGUGUAGCGGUGAAAUGCGUAGAGAUCAGGAGGAAUACCAGAGGCGAAGGCGACGAACUGGACAGUGACUGACACUCAACUACGAAAGCGUGGGGAGCAAACAGG